UUCUAUAAUUUUACAAAACCCUUUACCACUACUGAAUGACUCCAUAAUCCUAUGGAGAACACUAUGCUAGAACUAGUAACAAGAAGAAGACCUUCUCCAAAAUGUAAGUGUAGGCCAAAAUGAACACCUCACUGGCACUUAUCGUCUAUGAACCUAAAGUAGUAACCCACACAAGAAAAACCUACUUAUCUAAACGUUAACCUUACACCAGAACAUUACCGGAAAGAUUAAAAAAAGAGGAAGGAACUCGGCAAAUUUUAACCCCGCCUGUUUACCAAAAACAUCGCCUCCUGAAAUAACCAUAGGAGGUCCAGCCUGCCCAGUGACAAAGUUAAACGGCCGCGGUACCCUAACCGUGCGAAGGUAGCGCAAUCACUUGUUCUUUAAAUGAGGACUAGUAUGAAUGGCAUCACGAGGGUUAUACUGUCUCCCCCUUUUAAUCAGUGAAACUGAUCUUCCCGUGAAGAAGCGGGAAUAUAUCUAUAAGACGAGAAGACCCCAUGGAGCUUAAAACUCAGUAUCAGCUGCCCUCUAAUAUAUCCUCUUAAUUAGGCAGACUUGACUACUAGUUUUCGGUUGGGGUGACCGCGGAGCAAAACAAAACCUCCACGAUGAAAGGAACUAAUUUCCUAAUCAAAGAACCACAUUUCUAUGAAUCAACAAAUUGACAUUUAUUGAUCCAAUUUUUUUGAUCAACGAACCAAGUUACCCUGGGGAUAACAGCGCAAUCCAUUUCAAGAGCCCCUAUCGACAAAUGGGUUUACGACCUCGAUGUUGGAUCAGGGUAUCCCAGUGGUGCAGCCGCUACUAAAGGUUC
rnacentral:rRNA from 1 species